GGAAUCUUCCACAAUGGACGCAAGCCUGAUGGAGCAACGCCGCGUGAGUGAAGAAGGGUUUCGGCUCGUAAAGCUCUGUUGUUAAAGAAGAACGUGGGUAAGAGUAACUGUUUACCCAGUGACGGUAUUUAACCAGAAAGCCACGGCUAACUACGUGCCAG
rnacentral:rRNA from 1 species